CAUCGAUCAACUCCGGUUGAUCCUGCCGGCGGGCACCGCUAUGGGAGUUCGCUUAAGACAUGCGAGUCGAGAGGUGCAAGACCUCGGCAGACGGCUCAGUAACACGCGGAUAAUCUGCCCUCGGGUGGAGGAUACUCUCGGGAAACUGAGGAUAAUACUCCAUAGAUCUGGGAUGCUGGAACGCUUCCAGGUCCAAAGCUCCGGCGCCCGAGGAUGAGUCUGCGGCCUAUCAGCUUGUAGGGGGCUUAACAGACCCCCUAGGCUUCGACGGGUACGGGCUAUGGGAGUAGUCGCCCGGAGAUGGAUUCUGAGACACGAAUCCAGGCCCUACGGGGCGCAGCAGUCGCGAAAACUCCACAAUGUGGGAAACC
rnacentral:rRNA from 1 species